UGUCACCUACGGGGCGCAGCAGUGGGGAAUAUUGCACAAUGGGGGAAACCCUGAUGCAGCAACGCCGCGUGAAGGAAGACGGUUUUCGGAUUGUAAACUUCUGUUCUUAGUGAAGAAGAAUGACGGUAGCUAAGGAGCAAGCCACGGCUAACUACGUGCCAGCAGCCGCGGUAAUACGUAGGUGGCAAGCGUUGUCCGGAAUUACUGGGUGUAAAGGGAGCGCAGGCGGGAAGCCAAGUACGCUGUGGAAAAUACGGGCUUAAAUUGUAGACUGCAGUUGAAACUGGUUUUCUUGAGUGAAGGAG
rnacentral:rRNA from 1 species